rnacentral:lncRNA from 1 species
UGGUUUUUAAGUGGGACCUUUGCAACGCAUCGUGACCCCCCCACUUACCUGGGAGCUUACCUGGUCAACUAAGUUCAUUAGACCGGAUUGGAGGCUUAGGUGCCCUCUUCAAACUAGUUAGGAGCUGUCUAGUAAUUUUAGGGCAAAUACAAGGAUUUGAUAUAUUUUUCUUUUAGUGCAUGCUUGACUGUACGUGAUUGAUCCGAAAAGUAUUGGUGCAUGCUAGGGUGUCGUUCCAAAUCUCCUGAACUAUUACCUUUUGACCCUGAAAUAGAACGGACCCUUAGGAAUAUUCGAGCUGAGAUCAGAACAUUAGAAUCAA